rnacentral:lncRNA from 1 species
CUUUGAUUUGCUGGCUUUGCAACGGAGGGAGCCUCCUGAGCCAUCGAUAUAAAUAAUGCAGGCGGCCUAAACAUCCCAUCUGAGUUGCGACACAACAUCCCGGGCGAGGCCUUGGAGCAAGCCUGAAAUUCAAUUUGCGGCGGAGUGCAAAGAUCUGGGUCAAAUGGUUGUCUGCUUUUCUAUCCAAGAAUUUUCUGCUGGAGCAGCCUACCCGUGCCUCUUCUGACUUCACCUACAAGGUGACUUUCUACCAUCUGAUGUCCCCCAGGUAGAUGUCUUCUGCUUCAACUCCUACUAUUUUCAGCCUACAUGCCAGG